GUGGGUCAAGAGCGGGAGUCGUUUGGUGGGUCAAGAGCGGGAGUCGUUUGGUGGGUCAAGAGCGGGAGUCGUUUGGUGGGUCAAGAGCGGGAGUCGUUUGGUGGGUCAAGAGCGGGAGUCGUUUGGUGGGUCAAAAGCGGGAGUCGUUUGGUGGGUCAAAAGCGGGAGUCGUUUGGUGGGUCAAAAGCGGGAGUCGUUUGGUAGGUCAAAAGCGGGAGUCGUUUGGUAGGUCAAAAGCGGGAGUCGUUUGGUAGGUCAAAAGCAGGAGUCGUUUGGUAGGUCAAAAGCAGGAGUCGUUUGGUAGGUCAAAAGCAGGAGUCGUUUGGUAGGUCAAAAGCAGGAGUCGUUUGGUAGGUCAAAAGCAGGAGUCGUUUGGUAGGUCAAAAGCAGGAGUCGUUUGGUAGGUCAAAAGCAGGAGUCGUUUGGUAGGUCAAAAGCAGGAGUCGUUUGGUAGGUCAAAAGCAGGAGUCGUUUGGUAGGUCAAAAGCAGGAGUCGUUUGGUAGGUCAAAAGCAGGAGUCGUUUGUUGUCAAUGUGGCCCAUUGUGAGGGUUGUAACAGAGUUGUUCCUUAGAGCUGGAAUACAGCCAAAUACAUUCCAGAAUUGUGAAGUGAACAAGGAACUGGCGCACCCAAAACAUUUAGGGGCUAUAUGCAAAUAAAAAUGAAUGGCACUGUAGAGCCGUGAUGUGAUAGGUCAAUUAGAACUUUAA